rfam:Amborella trichopoda AMTR_V1.0_contig_25890, whole genome shotgun sequence.
AUACCUUUCUCGGCCUUUUGGCUAAGAUCAAGUGUAGUAUCUGUUCUUAUCAGUUUAAUAUCUGAUACGUGGUCCAUCGGACCACACGAUAUUAAAUUAAUUUUUCAGUGGGGGAGGGGCCACCGCACUAGCUGGCUAGUGGGUCCCUCGGGCGUCGCCCAUGCGUUGCACUACUGCAAGGGCCUGGCGCACCCCUA